rnacentral:rRNA from 1 species
GUGGGGAAUAUUGGACAAUGGGCGAAAGCCUGAUCCAGCAAUGCCGCGUGAGUGAUGAAGGCCUUAGGGUUGUAAAGCUCUUUUACCCGGGAAGAUAAUGACUGUACCGGGAGAAUAAGCCCCGGCUAACUCCGUGCCAGCAGCCGCGGUAAUACGGAGGGGGCUAGCGGUGUUCGGAAUUACUGGGCGUAAAGCGCGCGUAGGCGGACCAGAAAGUUGGAGGUGAAAUCCCAGGGCUCAACCUUGGAACUGCCUUUGAUACUGGAGAGCUUGAGUUCGGGAGAGGUGAGUGGAACUGCGAGUGUAGAGGUGAAAUGCGUAGAUAUUCGCAAGAACACCAGUGGCGAAGGCGGCUCACUGGCCCGAUACUGACGCUGAGGUGCGGAAGCGUGGGGAGCAAACAGGAUUAGAAACCCCAGUAGUCC